AGUGAACGCUGGCGGUAGGCCUAACACAUGCAAGUCGAACGGCAGCACAGUAAGAGCUUGCUCUUACGGGUGGCGAGUGGCGGACGGGUGAGGAAUACAUCGGAAUCUACUUUUUCGUGGGGGAUAACGCAGGGAAACUUACGCUAAUACCGCAUACGACCUACGGGUGAAAUCAUCGGAUCUUCGGACCUUGCGUGAUUGAAUGAGCCGAUGUCGGAUUAGCUAGUUGGCGGGGUAAAGGCCCACCAAGGCGACGAUCCGUAGCUGGUCUGAGAGGAUGAUCAGCCACACUGGAACUGAGACACGGUCCAGACUCCUACGGGAGGCAGCAGUGGGGAAUAUUGGACAAUGGGCGCAAGCCUGAUCCAGCCAUGCCGCGUGGGUGAAGAAGGCCUUCGGAUUGUAAAGCCCUUUUGUUGGGGAAGAAGGGCAGCAAGUUAAUACCCCGCUGUUCUGACGGUACCAAAAGAAUAAGCACCGGCUAACUUCGUG
rnacentral:rRNA from 1 species